GAAUGGGCGCAAGCCUGACGGAGCAAGCCGCGUGAGUGAAGACGGCCUUCGGGUGUAAAGCUCUGGUCUUGGGGAAGAACAAAUGACGGUACCCAAGCAGAAAGCCCCGGCUAACUACGUGCCAGCAGCCGCGGUAAUACGUAGGGGGCAAGCGUUGUCCGGAUUUAUUGGGCGUAAAGCGCGCGCAGGUGGUGGAUUAAGUUGUGGGUAAAAGGCAUUGGCUCAACCAAUGUAAGCCUGCAAAACUGGUUCACUUGAGUGCAGGAGAGGGGAGUGGAAUUCCCGGUGUAGCGGUGGAAUGCGUAGAUAUCGGGAGGAACACCAGUGGCGAAGGCGACUCUCUGGCCUGUAACUGACACUGAGGCGCGAAAGCGUGGGGAGCGAACAGGAUUAGAUACCCUGGUAGUCCACGCCGUAAACGAUGAGUGCUAGGUGUUGGGGGCAUCACGUCCUCAGUGCCGAAGGAAACCCAUUAAGCACUCCGCCUGGGGAGUACGACCGCAAGGUUG
rnacentral:rRNA from 1 species